GGGGGGGGGGGCCGGCUCCGCGGUGUGAGACUGUGUGUGGCAGCCUGGGGCAGCCCCGGAGCGGCUGACCCUCUGCCUGUGGGGACGGGUGUCGGGAGGCGGCUGCCAUGGCGGGGUCGGAGAGCCAGCUCAAGAAAAUGGUGUCCAAGUACAAAUACAGAGACCUAACUGUACGUGAAACUGUCAGUGUUAUUACUUUAUACAAAGAUCUCAAACCUGUAUUGGAUUCAUAUGUUUUUAAUGAUGGCAGUUCCAGGGAACUGAUGAACCUCACUGGAACGAUUCCUGUGCCUUAUAGAGGUACUACAUAUAAUAUUCCAAUAUGCCUGUGGCUGCUGGACACAUACCCAUAUAAUCCCCCUAUCUGUUUUGUUAAGCCUACUAGUUCAAUGACUAUUAAAACAGGAAAGCAUGUGGAUGCUAACGGGAAGAUAUAUCUUCCUUAUCUACAUGAAUGGAAACACCCACAGUCAGACUUGUUGGGCCUUAUUCAAGUUAUGAUUGUGGUGUUUGGAGAAGAACCUCCAGUCUUUUCUCGUCCUACUAUUUCAGCAUCCUAUCCACCAUACCAGGCAACAGGGCCACCAAAUACUUAUCAAGUUAGUGGAUUUUUUGGAGGUAUUCUGAGGCCCCACAUCUGCAUGUACAGAUUCCCAACAAAGACUGGCAUUUGGGCUUUCGUUUCUUCCUACAUGCCAGGCAUGCCAAGUGGAAUUUCUGCAUACCCAUCCGGAUACCCUCCCAAUCCCAGUGGUUACCCAGGCUGUCCUUACCCACCUGGCAGUCAGUAUCCUGCCACAACAAGUUCCCAGUACCCUUCCCAGCCUCCUGUGACCACUGUUGGUCCCAGUAGGGAUGGCACAAUCAGCGAGGACACUAUCCGAGCCUCUCUCAUCUCAGCAGUCAGUGACAAACUGAGAUGGCGGAUGAAGGAGGAAAUGGAUCGUGCCCAGGCAGAGCUCAAUGCCUUGAAACGAACAGAGGAAGACCUGAAAAAAGGUCACCAGAAACUGGAAGAGAUGGUUACCCGUUUAGAUCAAGAAGUAGCUGAGGUUGAUAAAAACAUAGAACUUUUGAGAAAGAAGGAUGAAGAACUCAGUUCUGCUCUGGAGAAAAUGGAAAAUCAGUCUGAAAACAAUGAUAUUGAUGAAGUUAUCAUUCCCACAGCCCCACUAUACAAACAGAUCCUAAAUCUGUAUGCAGAGGAAAAUGCUAUUGAAGACACUAUCUUUUACCUGGGAGAAGCCUUGAGGCGGGGAGUAAUAGACCUGGACGUCUUCCUGAAGGAUCACAGUACAAGUUUCCCUGCCAUCUUGGUUGUCUCAAGUGCAGCUUGAACUCCUGAGCCAGAUCCUGCAAUGUGGUGCUUUCCCUGUGAAGAAGGCCUUUGUAUAGGGUCUCAGAAGACUACUUUCCUUAACACAACCUGCCAGCAUCAAUCCACAUGUACGUCUUCUGUCCCGUAAACAGUUCCAGCUGAGGGCGCUAAUGCAGAAAGCAAGAAAGACUGCCGGUCUCAGUGACCUCUACUGACUCCUCUGAUACCAGCUGGAGAUUGAGCUCUUCUAAAGCAUUCUUUCCUUCUCUUCCUUUCUCUUAUAUCAGUAGGUGCCCAGAAUAAGUUAUUGCAGUUUAUCAUUCAAGUGUAAAAUAUUUUGAAUCAAUAAUAUAUUUUCUGUUUGUUUUCUUUUGGUAAAGACUGGCUUUUAUUAAUGCACUUUCUAUCCUCUGUAAACUCUUUUUGUGCUGAAUGUUGGGACUGACUAUGCUAAAUAAAAUUUGUUGCAUAA